UAUGUUUCCAGAGCCAGGAUCUUCCCUGUGUGAUGGUGGCAGUGAGACAGUGCCUCUAGUGGUUGUGUGCAGUACUGCUCUGGAGAGGCUGCAGCUUGGAGCUCUCUCACCAGACAGCUGACCCACAGAGGUGCAGGAGAGGGGUUGGGCCUGAAGCAGAGAGCCAGCAGUGUGCUGGAGCUCAGCUCUGUGUCAGAGAGGAGACAGGAGCCCUGCAGUGGAGCUGGACUGUCCCAGGUCAGGAUCAGUAGGGCCUGAGGCCCCCAGCCCAGGGAGAGGAAGGCGUCUGCUUGGAGCCCAGGGUGUCCAGUGAAGUGAAGAGCUCAGACCCCAGUGUGUAGAAGCAGUUGUGGGGAGGACUAUCUUGCCUUGUCCUACAGAAGAUGUACAUUGAUGCCCCAGUGUCCAGCCCAGCACCUCAGAAGACAGGACUGUCUGAGGAGUUGGGGAGCUGCCAGCCUGCUGCAGAUAUCCCAAAAGCUUCUUGUGCCCAAGGAGCUCUUGACUAUUUAAGGAAUGUGAUGACUGUAAUAUGAGAUGCAUCUGCAGGUAGAAUAUAGUUUCAGUAUUAAACUGAAUGUGUUCAUUUAACA